AACGCGAAUUAACCUUACCUACCCUUGACAUGCCAGGAAGCCCGCUGAGAGGUGGGUGUGCCCGAAAGGGAGCCUGGACACAGGUGCUGCAUGGCUGUCGUCAGCUCGUGUCGUGAGAUGUUGGGUUAAGUCCCGCAACGAGCGCAACCCUUGUCACUAGUUGCUACGCAAGGGCACUCUAGUGAGACUGCCGGUGACAAACCGGAGGAAGGUGGGGAUGACGUCAAGUCCUCAUGGCCCUUAUGGGUAGGGCUUCACACGUCAUACAAUGGCGCAUACAAAGGGCUGCCAACCCGCGAGGGGGAGCCAAUCCCAGAAAGUGCGUCGUAGUCCGGAUUGCAGUCUGCAACUCGACUGCAUGAAGUCGGAAUCGCUAGUAAUCGCGGAUCAGCAAUGUCGCGGUGAAUACGUUCCCGGGUCUUGUACACACCG
rnacentral:rRNA from 1 species